rnacentral:rRNA from 1 species
AUGAAUAUCAUAAGUUGGAACUGCCGAGGUGGGGGGAACACUCGGACAGUUCGGGGUCUCAGUGCUUUGGUACAGACACAUUCCUCCAAUAUUGUCUUCAUGUGCGAGACACGACAAUCAAAAGAAAAAAUGAAGAGGUACCGCGCAAGAUUGGGUUUGAGCGGUUUUGAUGGUGUUGACAACGAUGGUAAUAGUGGUGGUUUGGCACUUUUUUGGCAUGAGACUCUGAGUGUUGAUGUGGUUUUUGCAAAUCAACGAUGUAUUGAUGCACAUGUUAGGGCUGAUCCGGAUUCUCCGACUUGGCAACUAACUUGUGUAUAUGGUGAGCCAAGGGUGGAGAAUAGGCACUUGAUGUGGUCGCUGAUGAAAGAUCUAAAAAUUCAGUCUGACCUUCCUUGGCUCGUAGUCGGUGAUUUCAACGAAUGUAUGUGGGACUUUGAGCAUUUUUCUUUAACACCGAGACCGGCUUCCCAGAUGCAGGCUUUUCGGGGUGUCCUUGAAGUGUGUGAGCUCUCAGACUUGGGUUUUAGUGGUGUACCGCACACGUAUGAUAACAAGCGUGCGGGUGAUGCAAAUGUCCAAGUUCGGCUUGAUAGGGCGGUUGCA